rnacentral:tRNA from 1 species
GUUUCCGUAGUGUAGUGGUUAUCACGUGUGCUUCACACGCACAAGGUCCCCGGUUCGAGCCCGGGCGGAAACA